AUCCUUUUGUGGUUCAACAGCAUGAAGACUGGGUUUACACUCCAUUAUGUGAGAUAUGCUGCCCUCAAACUGUUUCUAUGUCGGACUAUUGCCUAUCUGAUG